GGUUCGGUAGCUCAGCUGGAUAGAGCAACAGCCUUCUAAGCUGUGGGUCAUGCGUUCGAAUCGCAUCCGAAUCA
rnacentral:tRNA from 1 species